AUGGCAGACUUGGAGGAGAAGUUUUCUGAUGAGGAAAAGGUACUUAUAGCAGCAAAAUUCAUCAUUCAUGUCCCUCCUGGAGAAUUUAAUGAGGUCUUUAAUGAUGUUUGGUUACUGCUUAGUAAUGAUGAUCUUCUCAGGAAAAGAAUAGUCCAUGCAUUUGCACAGUAUAAGUUGGACCAGUUACUCCAGUAAAAACUGAAGGUUAUGAUCAUGAAGUAUUGAUAACAGAACAUGUGAAAAAAAUCAAUGGACAGAAAACCAUUAUUGCAUACAUAGAGUGCCAUCAGUAGCAAGCAAAAAAAAAUUGGAAUGGUUGUUGGAGGUCAGAAUGGAAGUUUACAAUCUUUCCUUGGGUCACUCAGGUGGUUGGCAUCUUGAAUGUUCAGGUUCAUUAUUAUGAAGACCUCGGCAAUGAAAAUGGUAAUGUUCAGCUAGUGAGUAGUAAAGAUAUACAAGAUUACCUAACAGAGGUGCAGACAGCCAAAGAAUUUAUGAGGUUUAUAGGAGCUGCAGAAAAUGAAUACCAGAUUGUCAUCAGUGAGAAUUAUCAGACAAUGUCGGACACUAUUUUCAAAGCCUUAUAUCAACGGUUGCCAGUUACACGUACUAAGAUUGAUUGGAAUAAAAUGCUUAGCUACAAGAUUGGAAAAGAGAUGCAGAAUGCAUAA